GGCAUAUGGAGAGUCCCAGGCUAGAGGUCUAAUCGGAGCUGUAGCCACCGGCCUACGCCAGAGCCACAGCAACGCGGGAUCCGAGCCGCGUCUGCAAUCUACACCACAGCUCACGGCAACGCCGGAUCGUUAACCCACUGAGCAAGGGCAGGGACCGAACCCGCAACCUCAUGGUUCCUAGUCGGAUUCGCUAACCACUGCGCCACGACGGGAACUCCUGAUAUUUCUCAUUUUUUAUUUCAUUAUGUGAGUGUUUACCUUUCUCUCACUGAGCAUGAUUAGAAUAGUUGCUUUAUCUGUUUAUGUGAUAAAUUCCAACAUCUGGGUUAUCUCAUGGUUGGGCUCUGUUGGUUACCUUUCUUUGAGACUUGGUCACAUUUUUUCUGGUUCUCUGUAAUGUUGAGCAAUUUUAGAUAGUAUCAUGGGCACUGUGAAAAGUCUGCAAUCUAUUUUCUGAAGAGUGUUGAUAUAUUCCAGUCAGCAUAUACUUGUGAAGAAACAGCCCAAAACGGAGGAAAGAACCACCAGAAAGGAUAAGAGGGCACAGUGCCUGAGGCCUCUGCAGGACUUAUAAUGAUACUUUUUUCUUUAUAAGUCAGCAAAUAGAAAAACCUCAUAAUUCAUGGGACAUUGAAUAUAGUUCUCAAAAGGGUCUUGCCUUAGUAAUUAGAAAUAAUUAGCCCUAGAAAAAUACUGCUCUAGUGUCAAUUAUCAAGUCUUAAAAACAGAAUGCAUAAAGAUCAAACUGUUUUCAAAUUGGCUUAACUGUACCCUAAACUCCAGAAUAUCUGUGAAAACACAAAAUAUCCUACUCAAUAAGGUAAAAUUACAAUGUUUAGUAGCCAGUGAAAUAUCACAAGGCAUAUAAAGAAGCAGAAAAAUAUAACCCAUAAUAAGGAGAAAAAAAAAAAAAAACAAUCCAUCAAAACCAUUCUAAAUGUGACACAGAUAUUAGAAUUAGCAGAUAAGAACAUAAAAAUAGUUUUUUAUGAUUCUAAUAUGUACAGUUAACAAUUUAAGUAGAGGCAUGUAAUAUAUAAAAAAGACUGAAACCAAACUUCUAGAAAUGAUAGCUAGAGUUUCUGACAAGAAAAAUACAUCUACAGCAGAUUAGACAUUGUAGAAGGAAAGGUUACUGACUUUGAAGACAUGGCAAUAGAAAUUAUUCAAAAUGAAACGCAGGAGUUAUCACUGUGGUGUAAUGGGUUAAGGAUUUGGUGUUGUCUCUGUGGAGGUGUGGGUUUGAUCCCUGACCUGGAGUAGUGGGUUAAGUAUCUGGCAUUGCCACAGCUCUGAUGUAGUUGGCAGUUGCAACUCAGAUUCAAUCCUGAGCCCAGGGAAGUUUUCAUGUGCUGUGUGUGCAGCCAAAAUACAUACAUACAUACAUACAUACAUACGUACUAAAUGAAGCACAAGUAAAAACAAGGAUCUUUGGAGCUCUCUCUAUGCUUCUUCUCAGUUACUCUGUUCUGCAAACUCUAGCCUCUCGGUCUUUCAAGAGUCUUAGCCCAGCUUUCUCAGCUCAGGAAGUCCUCCAGGCUCUGUCUUAGUUAUCUCUCUUGGUGCCAAGGCCUAGAAGCUUUCCCAAAGUAUAGUGAUUGCCUUAUUUGUUUCCCAUCUCUCAGAGAAGACUGUCUUCUAUUUCCUGAGAGCUGACAUCUUGAAAACUAUUGUUUUCUAUAAUUUGUUCAGUUUUCUGGCUGUUUAAGGUGACAGGGUAUAUCCCGUCCCUGUUAUCACACCUUGACCAGAAUUGGAAGUAAAUUCCAUGGCAAUUUAAAAUUCUUUUUGCUGUGGAAAUGUCUAUAAUCGUGAGUUCAGUGAGUCAAGUUUAGUAUUUCUUAAGUACGCCAAUAGUGAAAAUAACCCUUUGUUACCUGGACAUCCUUGAACAGUAGAAUUUUGGUUAGGUAGAACCUGGUUAGGUAAGAAGACCUAGACCCUUCACUCUUUAGAUGUAAAUUGCAUGUCAUCCUGGAAUAUAUCUUUGUUUUGUAAAGAAUCACCUAAGUAGCCUCUUUUAAUUUCAGAUAUAUAAAGGCAAAUAAAUUGGAAAUUUUCUACUGAUGCAACUUCCUGGCUAACUGAUAUUAUUCCUGAACGAUGGUUGGGUUUUGCAUGUAGGCCAAAGAAAUAAUAACUUUGGGAUUCCUAGGGACAUCACUGUGGCCUCUGCAGGAAUCUACAAUAUGAAAGGCAUCCUUGCAGAAGUAAGCAGGUUCAUGUAUUUUAGGCAGGUGAGUCCAGUGGAGAGAAGCAUAAUCAUUUAGCACUGACAGAAGAUAUGGCAGCACAAAUUAGGUCCACCAGUGGCUGGAUCUUACUCUUUAAUCUAUUCUCUCCAGAUUUUAGAAACAGAGAUGGAACUUAUAUUAGCAUCCCCUUAAAUGAAGGAUAAUUUAUUUUCUAUUAUUUUGGGGAAUGUCUUCAUUUCUUUUAAAAAAUGAAAGAAUGGUGAAUACUCUAGUGAAGUAUGUAAUACUGUGUAUGUGUUAUACUUUGUGCAGUUUUGUAGACCCAUUAAAAAAUAAGCUUUACCCUAAAAGAAAUGGUGUUUUUUCUUGAGAAAAAAAAUGAUAUAUUUCACUGGAAUAAUUUUCUUCAGAAAUUUCUUAUGCUAGAUUUCUUAUGCUAUUUGGACUGCUUCAGGUUUCAAGGAAAGAAACACACUCAUGGUCUCCAAAGUUAUAGGAUGCACUUUAAGAAUACGUGGGGAAGUAAAGCAGCAAGGAAAGGUCUUCGAAAAUCAUCUCCAGCAGAAGAGUUGCUGUCAGU
rnacentral:lncRNA from 1 species